rnacentral:rRNA from 1 species
UACGGGAGGCAGCAGUGGGGAAUAUUGGACAAUGGGCGCAAGCCUGAUCCAGCAACGCCGCGUGGAGGACGAAGGUCUUCGGAUUGUAAACUCCUGUCAGGCGGGACGAAGGUACGUGGGCAAAUAGUCUGCGUGCUUGACGGUACUGCCAGAGGAAGCCCCGGCUAACUCCGUGCCAGCAGCCGCGGUAAUACGGAGGGGGCGAGCGUUAUUCGGAAUUAUUGGGCGUAAAGGGCGCGUAGGCGGCCCGGUAAGUCAAAGGUGAAAUCCCUCGGCUCAACUGAGGAACUGCCUUUGAAACUGACGGGCUUGAGACCGGGAGGGGGUGGCGGAAUUCCCAGUGUAGCGGUGAAAUGCGUAGAUAUUGGGAGGAACACCAGUGGCGAAGGCGGCCACCUGGACCGGUUCUGACGCUGAUGCGCGAAAGCGUGGGUAGCAAAC